UACAGAGGGGGCAAGCGUUAUUCGGAAUUAUUGGGCGUAAAGGGCGCGUAGGCGGCUUUGCAAGUGACGGGUGAAAUCCCUCGGCUUAACCGAGGAACUGCCUGUCAAACUGCAUGGCUUGAGACCAGGAGAGGUGAGUGGAAUUCCCAGUGUAGCGGUGAAAUGCGUAGAUAUUGGGAGGAACACCAGUGGCGAAGGCGGCUCACUGGACUGGUACUGACGCUGAUGCGCGAAAGCCAGGGGAGCGAACGGG
rnacentral:rRNA from 1 species